rnacentral:rRNA from 1 species
UACGGAGGGUGCGAGCGUUGUCCGGAAUCACUGGGCGUAAAGGGCGCGUAGGUGGCGCGGGCAGUCAACGGUGAAAGUUCGGGGCUCAACCCUGAAUCGGCCGUCGAUACUCCCGGGCUUGAGCACUGUAGAGGCAGAUGGAAUUCCGGGUGUAGCGGUGGAAUGCGUAGAGAUCCGGAAGAACACCGGUGGCGAAGGCGGCUAUCUGGACGACAACUGACGCUGAGGCGCGAAAGCGUGGGGAUCAAACAGG